GUGAGGAAUCUUGCGCAAUGGGGGCAACCCUGACGCAGCAACGCCGCGUGAGUGAAGAAGGCCUUCGGGUCGUAAAGCUCUGUCAAGUGGGAAGAAUAGCCUUAGGGUUAAUAGCCUUAGGGUAUGACUGUACCACUGGAGGAAGCACCGGCUAACUCCGUGCCAGCAGCCGCGGUAAUACGGAGGGUGCAAGCGUUAUUCGGAAUUAUUGGGCGUAAAGGGCGUGUAGGCGGCCAGAUAAGUCAGAGGUGAAAGCCCGGGGCUCAACCCCGGAAGUGCCUUUGAUACUGUUUGGCUUGAGUGCGGGAGAGGAAAGCGGAAUUCCCAGUGUAGAGGUGAAAUUCGUAGAUAUUGGGAGGAACACCGGUGGCGAAGGCGGCUUUCUGGACCGACACUGACGCUGAGGCGCGAAAGCGUGGGGAGCAAACAGGAUUAGAUACCCGAGUAGUCC
rnacentral:rRNA from 1 species